AGGUUAUUGAAUUGCAGCCAAGGAUGACUUGCCGGCAAGCUCGAUCAAUUCUGCUUCAUGUCUGGCAAGUCAUUUUUGGCUACAUAUCUGCCUCA
rfam:Solanum tuberosum cultivar DM 1-3 516 R44 scf00004_67, whole genome shotgun sequence.